rnacentral:rRNA from 1 species
AUUGAACGCUGGCGGCAGGCCUAACACAUGCAAGUCGAACGGUAACAGGAAACAGCUUGCUGUUUCGCUGACGAGUGGCGGCCGGGUGAGUAAUGUCUGGGAAACUGCCUGAUGGAGGGGGAUAACUACUGGAAACGGUAGCUACUACCGCAUAACGUCGCAAGACCACAGAGGGGGACCCUCGGGCCUCUUGCCAUCGGAUGUGCCCAGAUGGGAUUAGCUUGUUGGUGGGGUAACGGCUCACCAAGGCGACGAUCCCUAGCUGGUCUGAGAGGAUGACCAGCAACACUGGAACUGAGACACGGUCCAGACUCCUACGGGAGGCAGCAGUGGGGAAUAUUGCACAAUGGGCGCAAGCCUGAUGCAGACAUGCCGCGUGUAUGAAGAAGGCAUUCGGGUUGUAAAGUACUUUCAGCGGGGAGGAAGGGAGUAAAGUUAAUACCUUUGCUCAUUGACGUUACCCGCAGAAGAAGCACCGGCUAACUACGUG